AGAGAUCCUUCACGCGGCGAUAUCAUUCGAACCUCCCCAGGGCCGGAAGGCAGCAAGGAUAAGGGUGCGCUAUCGGGUGCGUGAAGGGUCUUUUUUA
rnacentral:SRP_RNA from 1 species